UUUGAAAUGGCGGAUGAGGGAGAAGCAAUUGACAGAGGUGAUGGUGACACUCAGAAACCGGAUAAAAUGUUUACGUUGAAAAAGUGGAAUGCUGUUGCUAUGUGGAGCUGGGAUGUAGAAUGUGAUACUUGCGCAAUUUGCCGCGUUCAAGUUAUGGAGCCGCCUCUGCUAUAACAGAAUUUACAACAAUGAAGAACGUCCUAUAUGUUUGUCAAUUUUUUGCAUAGAUAAUGUAAAGUAAACAGAAAGUAAAGAUACUUUUUAGAAUA